UACCCGCGGCAGGACAAAAAGACCCCGUGGAGCUUUACUGUACCCUGGCAUUGUGUUGGGGCCAAAGAUGUGUAGGAUAGGCGGGAGACUGUGAAGUGUCGGCGCCAGCCGGCAUGGAGUCAACCUUGAAAUACCGCUCUUCUCUGGUUUUGAUGCUAACCCCUGAUCAAGCAGGGAGACCGUGUCAGGCGGGCAGUUUGACUGGGGCAGUCGCCUCCCAAAAGGUAAUGGAGGCGUCCAAAGGUUCCCUCAGGGUGGAUGGAAAUCACCCGUGGAGUGCAUUGGCAUAAGGGAGCUUGACUGUGAGGCCUACAAGCCAAGCAGGGACGAAAGUCGGGCAAAGUGAUCCUACGGUACCGUGUGGAAGGGCCGUGGCUUAUCGGAUAAAAGCUACCCCGGGGAUAACAGGCUGAUCCUGCCCAAGAGUUCACAUCGACGGCAGGGUUUGGCACCUCGAUGUCGGCUCAACGCAUCCUGGGGCUGAAGGCGGUCCCAAGGGUCCGGCUGUUCGCCGGUUAAAGGGGUACGUGAGUUGGGUUCAGAACGUCGUGAGACAGUUCGGUCUCUAUCCGCCGUGGGCGCAGGAGGCUUGAGGGAACCUUUCCCUAGUACGAGAGGACCGGGAAGGACAAACCUAUGGUGUUCCAGUUGUUCCGCCAGGAGCAGCGCUGGGUAGCCAUGUUUGGCAGCGAUAAGCGCUGAAGGCAUCUAAGCGCGAAGCAUCCCCCAAGAUUAGGCCUCCCUCCCCGAUUAACUUCGGGGGUAAGACUGCAGCGAGACUAGCUGCUUGAUAGGCCGGAUGUGUAAGGCUGGUAACAGCUUCAGCAAACCGGUACUAACCAGUCGAGUGAUUUGACCCA
rnacentral:rRNA from 1 species